rnacentral:miRNA from 1 species
AACACAGGAAAAAGCUGCCAGCUGUAGAACUGUUUUUAAUUAAAACUGUGUUCGACAUGCUUGCUGCAGAGUUUCCUUAUUU